rnacentral:rRNA from 1 species
CUUGAUGAAUAAGCCACGGCUAAUUCCGUGCCACGUAGCCGCGGUAAUACGGGAGUGGCAAGCGUUAUCCGGAAUUAUUGGGCGUAAAGCGUCCGCAGGCGGCCCUUCAWGUCUGCUGUUAAAAAGUGGAGCUUAACUCCAUCAUGGCAGUGGAAACUGUUGGGCUUGAGUGUGGUAGGGGUAGAGGGAAUUCCCGGUGUAGC